UUCGGGGAAUUCCGAGACAGGUGCUGCAUGGCUGUCGUCAGCUCGUGCCGUGAGGUGUGGGUUAAGUCCCGCAACGAGCGCAACCCUAUUGCCAGUUGCUACCAGGUAAUGCUGGGCACUCUGGUGAGACUGCCCGGUUAACGGGGAGGAAGGUGGGGACGACGUCAAGUCAUCGUGGCCCUUACGCCUAGGGCUACACACGUACUACAAUGGCGCAUACAAAGGGCAGCGAUACCGCGAGGUGGAGCCAAUCCCAAAAAGUGCGUCCCAGUCCGGAUUGCAGUCUGCAACUCGACUGCAUGAAGUUGGAAUCGCUAGUAAUUCGAGAUCAGCAUGCUCGGGUGAAUGCGUUCCCGGGCCUU
rnacentral:rRNA from 1 species